UUGGCUCGGAUAAAAAGGAUUGCAACAUUGGCAGUACUGUUGAUAGGAUGGUUAGUUUUGGAAGGGGAAUGGUAGUAUGAGAAGAGAUUGAAAACAAGGCUGCAGUGCAAACACUCCUGCUCAACCAAAUUAAGCUCAGUGUCAGCUGUUGAUUAAACAUCGGAUAUACUCCCCCAAAUGACAUCGUUGCACUACACUGGAUCUGACGAGUAGGGAAUCCAGCUAGCUAUCUGAUGGCACUUCCACAUGUAUAAGCUUUGUAUGUCCCUCCUUUUUCUGCAUCUUUGUUUCCAAAGGUCGAGAAAGUAUGUCUCAUCUUUUUCUUUAGAAUUUCUUGCAUGAGACUGACCAUUGUUUCUUCUUUUUCUUUAGGAGCUUAGGUUAUAUUUCUGAGGGGAGCAUACUUAUUAUUACCUUCAUUGGGUUUGACUUUUGGCUACUGUAUUGCUGUCACAACUUACCUGCGAAAUAGAAAGAGAGUCAUGUCUGAUAAGGUAUUCUGCUUCAGCUGUAUGCUUGCAGAGCAUUUAUUUUUCCAUCCAAGUAUUACUAGACUCUAUCAAGUUUUAUAAUGACAUAACAUUAACUUGUUAUAGGAUAUGUACCGAGUAAUUAGUAUGUACAGAAGUGUUGGUUCUUGGUUCUUGCAUGGAGGUGAGUAACCAUGAGGUGGGCAAUUAUGGGUUGCAAACGUUGCUGCUGCCCAUCACCUGGUCCAAUUCAAGCACACCGAGUAGGUUGCCUUGAAUAAAGGGGUUCUCAAAGAUGAUGUCUUUUAGCACGACCAUUUUAUUGAUUUAGUUUCUGUACAAUUUUGGGGCAUCCAAACUUGGCAAGUUUCAUCCUCCAAGUUAAAUUGGGACAAUCCAUUC
rnacentral:lncRNA from 1 species